rnacentral:lncRNA from 1 species
ACUCCCUCAUUAGCAUCUCAUCCUAAGGACACCUUCUACCUCCUUGUCCUCUAAGCAAUGCUUUUCAAACCCUACAGACCAGUGCCUGCAUCAGAAUAAUGAGGAAGGGCUUUUGGAAUACUAUGCAGCCAUGUCCCUCUGCAGGGACAUGGAUGAAGCUGGAAACCGUCAUUCUCAGCAAACUAACAUAAGAACAGAAAACCAAACACCACAUGUCCUCACUCAUAAGUGGGAGUUGAACAAUGAGAAUACAUGGACACGGGCAGUGACCUGAGAAGCUACGUAUUGACACGGCGCUACCACGGGUGGAGGAGCCUGCAUUGCUGAAUCACAGGAUGAAGGCGAAUCCCUGCCAGCCUCCAUCCAUCUCUGGGGUGCUUAGCAGAAUCCUCAGCUCACAAGAUGAAUAAAUGCAGACUAAAUGAUGCACAAAUAAUCUUCACACACAACCAUCAACACAUGGAAAGACUGCAGGACGGCCAGAUCCCAAGCUAACAAACAGGGGAAGAUGAUGUUUCAAAUGAUCAUCUGAAUGCUGGGUUUCCACCUUCCACCAGGAAGUCAUAUGGUAAAAAGAAAAAAAAUGGCAUUAUGAUACAAACAGAAAAUGUAACAGUGGAGUGCAGAAAAUACAAAAAAAAGGAAAAAAUAAAUAGAAAAUCUUCAAAGAGGCAAUCUGUUUAAAUCUUCAAGAACUGGAAACAGUAAAAGUGAACAGGUUUUUAUUGAGCAUGUCAAUAAAAUGUUUGCAUAAGACUUUACAA